rnacentral:rRNA from 1 species
GACGAACGCUGGCGGCGUGCUUAACACAUGCAAGUCGAACGAAGUGGCGAACGGGUGAGUAACGCGUAAUCAACCUGCCCUUCAGAGGGGGACAACAGUUGGAACAGACUGCUAAUACCGAAUACUGAAGGAGGGGAUUGCGUUUGAUUAGCUCGUUGGAGGGGUAACGGCCCACCAAGGCGAUGAUCAGUAGCCGGUCUGAGAGGAUGAACGGCCACAUUUGGACUGGGAAACGGCCCAGACUCCCACGGGAGGCAGCAGUGGGGAAUCUUCCGCAAUGGAGGAAAGUCUGACGGAGCAACGCCGCGUGAGUGAGGACGGCCUUCGGGUUUUAAAGCUCUGUUAAUCGGGACGCGGUACCGGAAUAGAAAGCCACGGCUAACUACGUGCCAGCAGCCGCGGUAAUUC